rnacentral:lncRNA from 1 species
CUGGAAGGCCUUCACCAGAUGCCGGCACCUUGAUCUUUGAUUUCUCAUCCUCCAGAACUGGUUCUUGACAUGGUGACAGGACAGGACAGAUCAAGACAGAGGCUCUCCAAGGCAGUGAAAAGACCCUUCCUAUCUCCUCUGGCUUAACCUGGGUUUAUGCUCCUUUCCUGGCCCUGUUGGUAUAAUCGGCAACAUCUGUGUUGUUAGAGGGUGGAGAGCGCAUGGAUCAUCUUAGCUCAAAGGUAGGUUCUAACAGCAUAGAAGAUGGAGUAGAGAAAAAUAAAUAGUGUUUUUUUUUCUCUCUGCUACUUACUAGAGCCAUGCUAUCUAAUAUGGCAGACACUAACCACAUGUGACUUUUGAGCACUUGAAUGUGGUUAGUUCAAAUUAAGACGGACUGUAAAACAUACACCCCCUGCCCCCAGACAUCAUAUUUCAUUAAGGCAACAUAAAAAUGCCAAUUAUCUCAUUUAUAACUUUUA